CAGAAGAGAAAAGGAUUUCACCAAUGUUAGCAGAGGGCAGAAUUCACCCGCUUGGUUCCAUAUGAUAUUCAACUAAGCCUGGAUAAUGUGUCAUUUUCAGCACUUUUUCCUUUGGGCUUGUCUACAUGCUUGGGACUGACAUCAAAGUGGGAAUCUUCAAUUGCAUCAUGCCACUGAAACAGGCUUUCCAGCUGCAUGUUCCCAGCUGUGACCAACUGAAGGGAGAGAAUUACCAAAUAAGAACAGGCUGAACAAGACAAUAAUCUCCUCCAAUCAAAGCCUGCCAGGCUUGAAGACAGUCCAGAGUCUCUGUAGCACUGUGUGAAUCAGUCCUGCCUCUGGCAUGCCUUGGCCCCAGGAUAUGCUGCACACACCCUUUUGCCCAGCUGGAGAGGACUUCACUGAAUGAAUGGCUUUUKGCAGCCUUCCAUAUGGCUUACCUUGACAUAUCCUUCUCUCAAGAGGGCUGAGAACGCUGUGCAGUCCUCUUCUAAGCUACUGCCAAAACUGCCUCUGCUAUUGAGCAGUGCCAUGGCCGUUCUGCUCAUCCCGCCAUUGCAUGCAUGUGUGAUAGUUCGGAUGACACGAAUGAUGGACGUGAUCUUCAUGUCUGACACAGAGAGGGAGCUGUUGAGGCUGCAAAUAGCAACAAGCAAAAAAAUCAAGAGUCAGGUGCAUCUGUACCAAAAUAACAGUCAUAUGGAUCGAUAG
rnacentral:lncRNA from 1 species